AAGUCGUAACAAGGUUUCCGUAGGUGAACCUGCGGAAGGAUCAUUAAUGAAAAUGUUGAAAGGAGUCUGAUGCUGGCGCCUCGGCGCAUCGUGCUCGUCUCUGAUCCAUUCACACACACUGUGCACAUGCCUUUAUACAACGCAUGAACCGUCAUACCAUUCUAUUAGAAUGUAAAUACAACUUUCAACAACGGAUCUCUUGGCUCUC
rnacentral:misc_RNA from 1 species